rnacentral:rRNA from 1 species
UAGGGAAUCUUCCGCAAUGGGCGAAAGCCUGACGGAGCAACGCCGCGUGAGUGAUGAAGGACUUCGGAUCGUAAAACUCUGUUAUUAGGGAAGAACAAAUGUGUAAGUAACUAUGCACGUCUUGACGGUACCUAAUCAGAAAGCCACGGCUAACUACGUGCCAGCAGCCGCGGUAAUACGUAGGUGGCAAGCGUUAUCCGGAAUUAUUGGGCGUAAAGCGCGCGUAGGCGGUUUUUUAAGUCUGAUGUGAAAGCCCACGGCUCAACCGUGGAGGGUCAUUGGAAACUGGAAAACUUGAGUGCAGAAGAGGAAAGUGGAAUUCCAUGUGUAGCGGUGAAAUGCGCAGAGAUAUGGAGGAACACCAGUGGCGAAGGCGACUUUCUGGUCUGUAACUGACGCUGAUGUGCGAAAGCGUGGGGAUCAAACAGG